GACAAAACCACAAUCAAAGAGUACACAUGGAGGGACCCAUGGCUCCAUCUGCAUAUGCAGCAGAAAGUUGUCUUAUCUAGCUUCAAUGGGAGGGGAGACUCUUGGUCUUAUGAAGGCUUGUUGCCCUAGCAUAGGGGAAUGCUAGAGGGGUGAGGUGGGAGUGGGUGGGUAGGUUGGGGAACACACUCAUAGAGGCAGGGGGUGGGAUGAGGUAGUUUGCAGAGGGAAGACUGGGGACUAGGGACAACAUUUGAAAUGUAAAUAAAUAAAGUAACCAAUUAAUUAAAAGGCGGGGGCUAUUAGACAUUCUUAUAUCAUCUAAAGGCCACCUGGAGCUCUGGGUUAUGUAAAUCCAAAGAGCAGGUGCUCUAGUCAAGAAAACAGGAACUCUUUGUUCAGGGAACAGCUUCAAAAGAAUGGUGAUUUAUAGAGGUAGAGGAUAUAUGUUAAUAGAGGACACUUGGCAUCUUCCUCUGGCUACUACACAUGCCCCGGGCACAUGCAGCAGCACGUACCCACUCACAGACAUAUUCACAUACAUGUAAAGAAGUAACUAAGUAGAUCCUUUAAAACUAAAACAAAGAGUUGAGUUACAGUUGAGUCUGUCAACUCAUUUACUGAAAGUCUUCUAAGAAAAGCACCAUUCUCAUAUAGAUAAUAAAGCCUCAUUUCUCUACCCCAGGUGGUCUCCAUUCUUUUUUUUUUUUUUUUUUUUAGCUCCUGGAUUCUAUGAUGUUCUUUUAGAAGUAUGUAGCUGCCUCUUGUGGAAGAUAGACAUGCAUGUUCUGACAGCUCAAAGAAAAAAUUAUUUAUGGA
ensembl:lincRNA Platr10 pluripotency associated transcript 10